ACAUGCCAGCCCAGGAGGCUGAGGCCACUGAGUCCUGUGAGUUCUCCUGCCAUGGCCUGGACAGUGCUUCUGCUCACAAUCCUCACUUAUGGCUCAGGAACUCAUUCUCAGACUGUGACUCAGGAGCCAUCACUGUCAGUGUCUCCAGGAGGGACAGUCAAACUCACCUGUGGCCUUAACUCGGGGUCAGUCACUAGUAGUAACUACCCCAGCUGGUACCAGCAGAUCCCAGGACAAGCUCCAAAAAUACUUAUGUACUACACCAACAGCCGCCCCUCUGGAGUCCCUGAUCGCUUCUCUGGCUCCAUUUCUGGCAACAAAGCUGCCCUCACCAUCACUGGGGCUCAGACAGACGACGAGGCCGAUUAUUACUGUAAUCUCUACAUGGGUAGUGAUGUUUUACACAGUGACUUAAAGUCAUGGGGAAGUGUAACCAAAACCUUCUCACAGGCUCCACUGGCCCAGCCCUUAGGAGAGAAGAGAAAGGGCCAGGCUGACAGUGGACACCACCACCAUGGACACUGA